rnacentral:rRNA from 1 species
GACGAACGCUGGCGGCGUGCCUAAUACAUGCAAGUAGAACGCUGAAGCGAGGAGCUUGCUCUUCUUGGAUGAGUUGCGAACGGGUGAGUAACGCGUAGGUAACCUGCCUUGUAGCGGGGGAUAACUAUUGGAAACGAUAGCUAAUACCGCAUAACAAUGGAUGACACAUGUCAUUUAUUUGAAAGGCGCAAUUGCUCCACUACAAGAUGGACCUGCGUUGUAUUAGCUAGUAGGUGAGGUAAUGGCUCACCUAGGCGACGAUACAUAGCCGACCUGAGAGGGUGAUCGGCCAAACUGGGACUGAGACACGGCCCAGACUCCUACGGGAGGCAGCAGUAGGGAAUCUUCGGCAAUGGGGGCAAACCUGAACGAGGAACGCCGCGUGAGUGAAGAAGGUUUUCGGAUCGUAAAGAUCUGUUGUAAGUCAAGAAAGGGUGUGAGAGUGGAAAGUUCACACUGUGACGGUAGCUUACCAGAAAGGGACGGCUAACUACGUG